GGAAAACUCGAAAUUGUGUGAAAAGAGUACUAUAAUAAUAAAACUAACUAUAAUAAUAAAAUGUGGCUAACGAAAUUAAUAUUUUGCAUAAUUACAUAUGACAGAAAUCACAUUACUUUGACCAUGGAACAGUGACACUAAUAUAUGAUGACGUAAAUUGAUUUCUGGAAUGAAAUCUACAAACUACUUACUAUGGUACUUAACUUUUCAUAUGUUCGCUGAUGUAAAAAGUAAUAUGACUAUAUUACAGGAGUAUAAAAUAUUAAGAGAUUAUUUAACAUAUCUUUGCAAAUUUCCAAAAUGAAAAACAAAUGUUUGCCAGGGAUCGGUUGUUCAAAGCUGGGUUAGCGCUAACCCUCUGUUAAAAUUUAACCCUCGGUUAAUCUGCUGUUUUAGUUUAUGUAGUUUUCUGCAGAGAAGAAAACGCCUGUUGAUUCAGACAAGAUCUUCAGGGAAAAACAAGCUGUUGAAAAGUAUGCUUUGAAUUUUUGGUUAACCUAGGGUUAACCUAGCCCAGCUUUGAACAACCAGUCCCAGAAAGCUAGAGCUUGUACUUGCGCAGGCGCAUAACUUCAAAAACCAAGAAUUUUAAUUAGAGAUUAACGAAAAAUAAACGUCCGCCGCAAUGCCAUUCUGUAAAGCGUUUAUUGCCGAGAAAACUUUUCUUGCCGAAAGUCUGUGCCGAAAGUAAUUAAGCUACGCUUGCUUCGGACGUUUAUUUCAAUAUCAUCUCGUUCAGUCGACGAUAAUCUUAAUAAACAAGACAUCAUCCCUGAUGUACUGACGAUUAUUCAAGCUAUCGAGUGGCAUAAAAAGAGGGGAACCUGAAGCGAUAUUCAUGUCAGACUUCGGACGUUGAAAAGAUGAACUUUGAGGGUCCGAAUUAAACGCAUCAAUCAUAUGAUCUCCAUUGCCUUGAUCCAACAGCAUCAUCGUGAUCUUCUUUUGGAAUGGCCAGGUUUGAACAGCGUCGUAGUCGCCUCUCAUCACAACAAAAAACAACGACAAAUGC